AGCAGCCGCGGUAAUUCCAGCUCCAAUAGCGUAUAUUAAAGUUGUUGCAGUUAAAAAGCUCGUAGUUGAAUUUCGGGAUCAGUAUGUUGGUCGUGCUUCGGUACGUACUGUCAUUACUGGUUUCUCCCUUCUGAAGAACCUUGAUGUCAUUAAUUUGGUGUCUUGGGGAAUCAGGACUGUUACUUUGAAAAAUUAGAGUGUUUAAAGCAGGCAUACGCUUGAAUACAUUAGCAUGGAAUAAUGAAAUAGGACGUUUGAUUCUAUUUUGUUGGUUUCUAGGAUCGACGUAA
rnacentral:rRNA from 1 species